CUUACAUUUACUUAUUUUUUUUAUUCAGUGACAAUUGUUUUUUCCUGGGAAAUGAAGGUAUGUAAUUGUUUUUAUCUGCCUCAAAAGUGACUUUGAAUCUGCAAAAUAGAGUAAAACUUACAUUUUUAUUUCUUAGGUACCUGAGAAUCCCACUCAAGCCUCAUGAUCUACUUGUGCUAUUCUGAUCAUUAAUUACUACUGAGCUUUUACUAUUGGAGUUGCCCAUCCAUGCUGCUGUACUGUCUUUGUUAAAAGAUGAUGUUAACCAACAUCUAGGACCUCUACAACAGUCCACAAGGAAGAUUGGCUCACAAGACGGGCUCACAGGUCCCUGCUCCAGGCUACAGCAGCCAGUGGAAGCACAACACCAGUAUCACAAAGGCAAGCCCUUGGAAUGGUAGGUAAAGGCUCCUGAUCAGCACAGGGGAAAUCCAUAGGACAUUGGAACUUCUUCCUUGGGCCAAGAAAAAGUCUCCAUCCACAGCAUCUGAAAUAUUUCUGACAUG
rnacentral:lncRNA from 1 species